rnacentral:rRNA from 1 species
AGUAACAUCCGGAAACGGGUGCUAAUACCGCAUAGUUUUCUUUGGUCGCAUGAUCGGGAAAGGAAAGACGGCCUUUGUGCUGUCGCUUAUGGAUGGACCCGCGGCGUAUUAGUUAGUUGGUGAGGUAACGGCUCACCAAGACGAUGAUACGUAGCCGACCUGAGAGGGUGAUCGGCCACAUUGGGACUGAGACACGGCCCAAACUCCUACGGGAGGCAGCAGUAGGGAAUCUUCCGCAAUGGACGAAAGUCUGACGGAGCAACGCCGCGUGAGUGAAGAAAAGGUUUUCGGAUCGUAAAACUCUGUUGUCAGAGAAGAACAAGUUGGAGAGUAACUGCUCCAGCCUUGACGGUAUCUGACCAGAAAGCCACGGCUAACUACGUGCCAGCAGCCGC